rnacentral:rRNA from 1 species
UACGUAGGUGGCAAGCAUUGUCCGGAAUUAUUGGGCGUAAAGCGCGCGCAGGCGGCUUCUUAAGUCUGAUGUGAAAUCUCGGGGCUCAACCCCGAGCGGCCAUUGGAAACUGGGAAGCUUGAGUACAGAAGAGGAGAGUGGAAUUCCACGUGUAGCGGUGAAUGACGUAGAUAUGUGGAGGAACACCAGUGGCGAAGGCGACUCUCUGGUCUGUAACUGACGCUGAGGCGCGAAAGCGUGGGGAGCAAACAGG